rnacentral:rRNA from 1 species
UAGGGAAUCUUCCGCAAUGGACGCAAGUCUGACGGAGCAACGCCGCGUGAGUGAAGAAGGAUUUCGGUUCGUAAAACUCUGUUGUUAGAGAAGAACAGCGCAUAGAGUAACUGUUAUGCGUGUGACGGUAUCUAACCAGAAAGCCACGGCUAACUACGUGCCAGCAGCCGCGGUAAUACGUAGGUGGCAAGCGUUGUCCGGAUUUAUUGGGCGUAAAGCGAGCGCAGGCGGUCAAUUAAGUCUGAUGUGAAAGCCCCCGGCUCAACCGGGGAGGGUCAUUGGAAACUGGUUGACUUGAGUGCAGAAGAGGGGAGUGGAAUUCCAUGUGUAGCGGUGAAAUGCGUAGAUAUAUGGCGGAACACCAGUGGCGAAGGCGACUCUCUGGUCUGUAACUGACGCUGAGGCUCGAAAGCGUGGGUAGCAAACAGG